GAUGAACGCUGGCGGCGUGCCUAAUACAUGCAAGUCGAGCGAACAGACGCGGCGCUUGCUGCUCUGACGUUAGCGGCGGACGGGUGAGUAACACGUGGAUAACCUACCUAUCAGACUGGGAUCACUUCGGGAAACCGGCGCUAAUACCGGAUAAUCUAUUGCACCGCAUGGGUCAAUAGUGAAAGACGGUUUUGCGGUCACUUCUCGCUGGAUCUCGGCUGCAUUGGGUGGUUGGUAGGUUCACGGCUUACCAAGGCAACGAUGCGUAUCCGACCUGAUGGACGGGUCGGCCACCCUGGAACGGAGACACGGUCCAGACGCCUACGAGAGGCAGCAGUAGGGAACCGUCCGCAACGGUCGAAAGCUUUACGCAGCAACGCGGCGCGUGUUAUGAAGGUCUUCGGAGCGUAAAGCUCGGUUACUGGGUAAGAACAACUUUGGAAGUUACCAUGCAGGGCGUGACGGUACCGAAUCAGAAAGCCCCGGCUAACUACGUG
rnacentral:rRNA from 1 species